AGAGCGAACGCUGGCGGCAGGCUUAACACAUGCAAGUCGAGCGGGCGUAGCAAUACGUCAGCGGCAGACGGGUGAGUAACGCGUGGGAACGUACCUUUUGGUUCGGAACAACCCAGGGAAACUUGGGCUAAUACCGGAUAAGCCCUUACGGGGAAAGAUUUAUCGCCGAAAGAUCGGCCCGCGUCUGAUUAGCUAGUUGGUGGGGUAAUGGCCCACCAAGGCGACGAUCAGUAGCUGGUCUGAGAGGAUGAUCAGCCACAUUGGGACUGAGACACGGCCCAAACUCCUACGGGAGGCAGCAGUGGGGAAUAUUGGACAAUGGGCGCAAGCCUGAUCCAGCCAUGCCGCGUGAGUGAUGAAGGCCCUAGGGUUGUAAAGCUCUUUUGUGCGGGAAGAUAAUGACGGUACCGCAAGAAUAAGCCCGGCUAACUUCGUGCCAGCAGCCGC
rnacentral:rRNA from 1 species